UACGAAGGGGGCGAGCGUUGUUCGGAAUUACUGGGCGUAAAGGGCGCGCAGGCGGCCCUUGAAGUCAGGCGUGAAAGCCCCGGGCUCAACCUGGGAGGUGCGCUUGAUACUCGAGGGCUUGAGUGCGGGAGAGGAGAGUGGAACUCCGAGUGUAGAGGUGAAAUUCGUAGAUAUUCGCAAGAACACCAGUGGCGAAGGCGGCUCACUGGCCCGAUACUGACGCUGAGGCACGAAAGCGUGGGGAGCAAACAGG
rnacentral:rRNA from 1 species